rfam:Ovis aries breed Texel chromosome 5, whole genome shotgun sequence.
UCCUUGGUGGUCCAGUAGCCAAGAUUCUGAGCUCCCAAUGCAGUGGGUCCAGGUUCAAUCCCUGGUCGGGGAA